rnacentral:rRNA from 1 species
UGGGGAAUAUUGCACAAUGGGCGCAAGCCUGAUGCAGCCAUGCCGCGUGUAUGAAGAAGGCCUUCGGGUUGUAAAGUACUUUCAGCGGGGAGGAAGGUGUUGAGGCUAAUAACCUCAGCAAUUGACGUUACCCGCAGAAGAAGCACCGGCUAACUCCGUGCCAGCAGCCGCGGUAAUACGGAGGGUGCAAGCGUUAAUCGGAAUUACUGGGCGUAAAGCGCACGCAGGCGGUCUGUCAAGUCGGAUGUGAAAUCCCCGGGCUCAACCUGGGAACUGCAUUCGAAACUGGCAGGCUAGAGUCGUGUAGAGGGGGGUAGAAUUCCAGGUGUAGCGGUGAAAUGCGUAGAGAUCUGGAGGAAUACCGGUGGCGAAGGCGGCCCCCUGGACAAAGACUGACGCUCAGGUGCGAAAGCGUGGGGAGCAAACA